AGGGAAUAGGUGGGGGUAAGGUGGGAAGUCACUUAUUAGAGAGAUUAGAGCUCUAAUAAGAAGAAGUUAGUAAGAAUUUGGAGAAUUAGUACGUGAAAAAUAUAAUUUUGGUGGAAGAAGGCAAGAGGUAAAUGCUAAGGCAUUGGAAGAACAUCCAUUGAAAGAGCUUAUGGAGUUUUGCUGGAAAAUCUAAGGUAAAAGGAGAUUACUCAU
rnacentral:lncRNA from 1 species